rnacentral:lncRNA from 1 species
AAGCUCCCAAGCUUCUUGCUCUUCUGGGAAAAAUCCAAUUUUAAAAAAAUAAUAAGCCCUAAGAAAAUGGAAUGCAAAUUUUAUUUUCUUGUGGAUGACUCUUAAGGCUUGUGAAACUUACUGAAAUUACAUAGGGCCUAACCCAAUAGCCCCAUUCCAAGCUCUUGGUGAAUAUUCAGCUUUAGGAAAAUUAUGUUUUAAGUAUAAAAUGCACCCACUUGCUUUAUAGGAGAAGGAAAUGGCAACCCAAUCCAAUGUUUUUGCCUGGAAAAUUCCAUGGACAGAGGUGAUUGGCAGGCUACAGUCCAUGGGAUCGCAGAGAGUCAGACACGACUGAGCAACUAUCACUCACUCCUUCACUUUCUUUAUAAGGCUUCCUUAUACACCUUGGCUUCAAUGAGGUAAUAGAUAUUAAACUGUGGCAUGUAAAGUUUUCCACAUAUGUGAAGUUUAAUUCUUUUGUUGCCUCCUACCCCAGAGCCCGUGCCCUCUCCCCAGAUUCUGGUGGGAUCAACAUCCAUCACACCAGACUGGUGCAACGUCACCCUGGAGUGCAGAGCCUCUGGGGCCACAGACGAUCUGAACGUGACCUGGGAGAACAAGGGCAUCCCCAGAGAAUGGGAGCAGAGAAGGACAUUAGAACCAGCUUCCAGCCCAUACAUUCUGGCUGUGAGCGUGCCAAGAGGCCAGCCCAAUGCCAGCCUCGUCUGUGUGGUCAGCAACCCGGUGGGAUAUAAAACUGAGUUCUUCAACCUUGGGGGAGUCUGCGUCCAUGAUUCAGCCAAUCUGGUCAUUGCUGAACUCUUGCCAGGCAUCCUUGGGGCAGUUGCGGCUGUGUUAUUGAUCCUCGGAGGCGGACUGUACCUUUGGAAGAUACAUAGGAAGAAGAUGGAGACUGGAAAAGGCAGGUUUCCCUUCUCCUUCCAUGCCCACAAACCUCUCUUUCUCAUUGCAUUCUUGAUAUCCUUUCUCCUACAGUUUGUUCCCUUGAAAUGUCCCUGCAAAGGGUUUAGUAGGUCUGGCCAUGGUCUGUGUCCAUAGCAGUGGGUGAGAGUGCAGAUUUCCAAGGCUCAGAUUCAACCUCCACUCUGCCUGUCUCUCAGGUGCAAGAUCACAAGAUGCUGAUGAUGAUAGCAUCCAGUAUGUAGAGCUGAGCCAGCAGAAAUCUCAAGAGAGCUCAAACAAGGUGAGAGCUGGGCUGUGUGCUCUCCCAGGUCUCUCACUGCCUGGCCUGAGUUUGUC